CAGCCAGCUGCAGCUCCCUGUGCGUAGAGACAAGACUUAUGGGGGAAACGGACCUGAAGGCAGCAAUCUAUGCAUCAUCCGCCUGUCCUCCACGUGGGGCAUGGGGAGCCCAGACUGAAUCAGGGACAUCUGGACCGCCAUGGGAGAGGUCAACACGGAAUCUCAGAAUGGAAAGUAUAUCUGCUGCGAUUUUAGUGCACCCCGUAAAACAUAAAGCAGAUGGAAACUGGAGUGGUGGAAAGGA